rnacentral:rRNA from 1 species
GACGAAGGGGGCUAGCGUUGUUCGGAAUUACUGGGCGUAAAGCGCGUGUAGGUGGUUUUCAUAGUCAGGUGUGAAAGCCUUGAGCUCAACUCAAGAAAUGCACUUGAUACUGGGAGACUAGAGGACCGGAGAGGAUAGUGGAAUUCCCAGUGUAGUGGUGAAAUACGUAGAGAUUGGGAAGAACACCAGUGGCGAAGGCGGCUAUCUGGACGGUUUCUGACACUAAGACUCGAAAGCGUGGGGAGCAAACAGG